CCCUUCUGUUAAAAUUAUUAGGUCUAGCCUGCCCACUGAAUUUUGAAUGGCUGCGGUAUUUUGACCGUACUAAGGUAGCAUAAUCAUUAGUUUUUUAAUUGAAAGCUGGAAUGAAGGGUUGGAUGAAAAAAUUUCUGUCUCUAAAUAAUUUUAUUAGAAUUUUAUUUUUAAGUUAAAAAGCUUAAAUAUUUUUAAAAGACGAGAAGACCCUAUAGAGUUUUAUAAAUUAAUUUUUAAUAAAUUUUAGUUAAUUUAAUUUUUAUAAUAAAUUAAUUUAUUUAAUUGGGGUGAUUAAAAAAUUUAAAAAACUUUUUUUUUAUUAAAAUAUUUAUUUAUAAAUUUUUGAUCCAAUAAUUUUGAUUAUAAGAAAAAAUUACCUUAGGGAUAACAGCGUAAUUUUAUUUAGAGUUCAAAUCAAAAAUAAAGAUUGCGACCUCUUGGUUGGAUUAA
rnacentral:rRNA from 1 species